rnacentral:rRNA from 1 species
AUUGAACGCUGGCGGCAGGCAUAACACAUGCAAGUCAGGCGAGCUGCGGACGGGUGAGUAAUGUAUGGGGAGAUGCCUGAUGGAGGGGGAUAACUACUGGAAACGGUAGCUAAUACCGCAUACCAUCAGAUGUACCCAGAUGGGAUUAGCUAGUAGUGGAGGUAACGGCUCACCUAGGCGACGAUCCCUAGCUGGUCUGAGAGGAUGAUCAGCAACACUGGGACUGAGACACGGCCCAGACUCCUACGGGAUGCAGCAGUGGGGAAUAUUGCACAAUGGGCGCAAGCCUGAUGCAGCCAUGCCGCGUGUAUGAAGAAGGCCUUCGGGUUGUAAAGUACUUUCAGUCGGGAGGCGUUACCGACAGAAGAAGCACCGGCUAACUCCGUGCCAGCAGCCGCGGUAAUAC